rnacentral:misc_RNA from 1 species
GAUGAAGAACGCAGCGAAAUGCGAUACGUAGUGUGAAUUGCAGAAUUCAGUGAAUCAUCGAAUCUUUGAACGCACAUUGCGCCCGCCAGCAUUCUGGCGGGCAUGCCUGUUCGAGCGUCAUUUCAACCCUCGAGCCCCCCCGGGGGCCUCGGUGUUGGGGGACGGCACACCAGCCGCCCCCGAAAUGCAGUGGCGACCUCGCCGCAGCCUCCCCUGCGUAGUAGCACACACCUCGCACCGGAGCGCGGAGACGGUCACGCCGUAAAACGCCCAACUUCUUAGAGUUGACCUCGGAUCAGGUAGGAAUACCCGCUGAACUUAAGCAUAUCAAUAAGCGGAGGA